rnacentral:rRNA from 1 species
AGAGUUUGAUCCUGGCUCAGGAUGAACGCUGGCGGCGUGCCUAACACAUGCAAGUCGAGCGAAGCGGUUUUAAGGAAGUUUUCGGAUGGAAUUAAAACUGACUGAGCGGCGGACGGGUGAGUAACGCGUGGGUAACCUGCCUCAUACAGGGGGAUAACAGUUAGAAAUGGCUGCUAAUACCGCAUAAGCACACAGCUUCGCAUGGAGCAGUGUGAAAAACUCCGGUGGUAUGAGAUGGACCCGCGUCUGAUUAGCUAGUUGGUAAGGUAACGGCUUACCAAGGCGACGAUCAGUAGCCGACCUGAGAGGGUGAUCGGCCACAUUGGAACUGAGACACGGUCCAAACUCCUACGGGAGGCAGCAGUGGGGAAUAUUGCACAAUGGGCGAAAGCCUGAUGCAGCAACGCCGCGUGAGCGAUGAAGGCCUUCGGGUCGUAAAGCUCUGUCCUCAAGGAAGAUAAUGACGGUACUUGAGGAGGAAGCCCCGGCUAACUACGUGCCAGCAGCCGCGGUAAUACGUAGGGGGCUAGCGUUAUCCGGAAUUACUGGGCGUAAAGGGUGCGUAGGUGGUUUCUUAAGUCAGAGGUGAAAGGCUACGGCUCAACCGUAGUAAGCCUUUGAAACUGGGAAACUUGAGUGCAGGAGAGGAGAGUGGAAUUCCUAGUGUAGCGGUGAAAUGCGUAGAUAUUAGGAGGAACACCAGUUGCGAAGGCGGCUCUCUGGACUGUAACUGACACUGAGGCACGAAAGCGUGGGGAGCAAACAGGAUUAGAUACCCUGGUAGUCCACGCCGUAAACGAUGAGUACUAGCUGUCGGAGGUUACCCCCUUCGGUGGCGCAGCUAACGCAUUAAGUACUCCGCCUGGGAAGUACGCUCGCAAGAGUGAAACUCAAAGGAAUUGACGGGGACCCGCACAAGUAGCGGAGCAUGUGGUUUAAUUCGAAGCAACGCGAAGAACCUUACCUAAGCUUGACAUCCUUUUGACCGAUGCCUAAUCGCAUCUUUCCCUUCGGGGACAGAAGUGACAGGUGGUGCAUGGUUGUCGUCAGCUCGUGUCGUGAGAUGUUGGGUUAAGUCCCGCAACGAGCGCAACCCUUAUCCUUAGUAGCCAGCAGUUCGGCUGGGCACUCUAGGGAGACUGCCAGGGAUAACCUGGAGGAAGGUGGGGAUGACGUCAAAUCAUCAUGCCCCUUAUGACUUGGGCUACACACGUGCUACAAUGGCGUAAACAAAGUGAAGCGAGAGUGUGAGCUUAAGCAAAUCACAAAAAUAACGUCUCAGUUCGGAUUGUAGUCUGCAACUCGACUACAUGAAGCUGGAAUCGCUAGUAAUCGCGAAUCAGAAUGUCGCGGUGAAUACGUUCCCGGGUCUUGUACACACCGCCCGUCACACCAUGGGAGUCAGUAACGCCCGAAGUCAGUGACCCAACCGUAAGGAGGGAGCUGCCGAAGGUGGGACCGAUAACUGGGGUGAAGUCGUAACAAGGUAGCCGUAUCGGAAGGUGCGGCUG